rnacentral:lncRNA from 1 species
AUCGAUCCAUCAUCUCUGCCUCCAAAACAUUGUCAAUUUGGAGACAUAAAAACUUGAAUCAAGAAACAUAAUCUUGGACCGACUUUUAUGGACAUACAACUAAAGAAGGUUCAAGAAGGUUCUAGGAGGUUCUAAAAGAUUUUAAGAAGGUUCUUAUAGAUCCUAAAAAGUUCUAGUAGGUCCUAAGAAGAUUUCAAAAGAUUCUAGUAGUUUCUAAAAAAGUUAUAGAAGGUCAUAUGAGAUCUUGGAAGGUUCUAGAAGGCUUUAGAUGAUUUAGGAAGUUGCCGAAGAAGGAACUUAUGCUUGCUUUCUUCUCAAGCCUCAUAGAAACUUUUCAAGAAGCUUCAUUGGAUCUAGUAUAUAUAGCAGUCAAGGCUAAAGGAAUCUUCAAUCCCGAAAAUUUACUUCUUAUGGUCUAACUAAGACCUCGCAUUCUAUCCAAUUAUUGUUCUAAUCUUCAGCUAACUCCAUUUCUUCGUCUUGAAUCCUUAUCUUAUAUAUGGUCCUUAAUAUUGACCUAGAUUGUGUGAGAUUUAUUAAUUAAU